GACACGUGGCUUCAUUCUAAGUGGUAGGUCAGUAUUGACACGUGGCUUCAUUCUAAGUGGUAGGUCAGUAUAGACACGUGGCUUCAUUCUAAGUGGUAGGUCAGUAUAGACACGUGGCUUCAUUCUAAGUGGUAGGUCAGUAUAGACACGUGGCUUCAUUCUAAGUGGUAGGUCAGUAUAGACACGUGGCUUCAUUCUAAGUGGUAGGUCAGUAUAGACACGUGGCUUCAUUCUAAGUGGUAGGUUAGUUGUAAUUAAUGUGGGCUUUGGGACAAUGUUUGCAAAUGUAUAUUUAAAAAAACUGACAUCACAUUUGAAAUUUUGGGGGUAUUGUGUGUAGAUCGGGGCAACAAAAAAAAAGAAGAUUUAACACAUUUUAGAAUAAGGCUGUAACGUAACAAAGUGGAAUAGUUGAAGGGGUCUGAAU